UACGUAGGGUCCGAGCGUUGUUCGGAAUUACUGGGCGUAAAGGGCUCGUAGGCGGCCAACUAAGUCAGACGUGAAAUCCCUCGGCUUAACCGGGGAACUGCGUCUGAUACUGGAUGGCUUGAGUUUGGGAGAGGGAUGCGGAAUUCCAGGUGUAGCGGUGAAAUGCGUAGAUAUCUGGAGGAACACCGGUGGCGAAGGCGGCAUCCUGGACCAACACUGACGCUGAGGCGCGAAAGCGUGGGGAGCAAACAGG
rnacentral:rRNA from 1 species